rnacentral:rRNA from 1 species
CUCCUGGAAACGGGUGGUAAUGCCGGAUGCUCCGACUCCUCGCAUGGGGUGUCGGGAAAGAUUUCAUCGGUAUGGGAUGGGGUCGCGUCCUAUCAGGUAGUCGGCGGGGUAACGGCCCACCGAGCCUACGACGGGUAGCCGGCCUGAGAGGGCGACCGGCCACAUUGGGACUGAGAUACGGCCCAGACUCCUACGGGAGGCAGCAGUGGGGAAUAUUGCACAAUGGGCGCAAGCCUGAUGCAGCGACGCCGCGUGCGGGAUGACGGCCUUCGGGUUGUAAACCGCUUUUGAUCGGGAGCAAGCCUUCGGGUGAGUGUACCUUUCGAAUAAGCACCGGCUAACUACGUGCCAGCAGCCGCGGUAAUACGUAGGGUGCAAGCGUUAUCCGGAAUUAUUGGGCGUAAAGGGCUCGUAGGCGGUUCGUCGCGUCCGGUGUGAAAGUCCAUCGCUUAACGGUGGAUCUGCGCCGGGUACGGGCGGGCUGGAGUGCGGUAGGGGAGACUGGAAUUCCCGGUGUAACGGUGGAAGGUGUAGAUAUCGGGAAGAACACC